rnacentral:tRNA from 1 species
AUUACUUUGGCAGAAAAAUGUAUUGAAUUUAGAAUUCAAAAAUAUAAUUAUUUAUUAAUUAUAAGUAAUA